rnacentral:rRNA from 1 species
GGUAGCCGGCCUGAGAGGGCGACCGGCCACACUGGGACUGAGACACGGCCCAGACUCCUACGGGAGGCAGCAGUGGGGAAUAUUGGGCAAUGGAGGAAACUCUGACCCAGCGACGCCGCGUGMGGGAUGAAGGCCUUCGGGUUGUAAACCKCUUUCAGUAGGGAAGAAGCGAAAGUGACGGUACCUACANAAGAAGCACCGGCUAACUAUGUGCCAGCAGCCGCGGUAAUACAUAGGGUGCAAGCGUUGUCCGGAAUUAUUGGGCGUAAAGAGCUCGUAGGUGGUUYGWUACGUCGGAUGUGAAAAUCNGGGGCUCAACCCCUGACCUGCAUYCGAUACGGKCNAGCUAGAGUUUGGUAGGGGA